ensembl:misc_RNA Metazoa_SRP Metazoan signal recognition particle RNA
GUGGUGGCACACCCAUGCAGUCUCAGCUACUACAGAUACUGAGGUAGCAGGACUGCUUGAGUCCAGGAGUUCCGGGCUGUAAUCCACUAUAACAAUCAUAUAUCCACACAAAGUUCACCAUCAAUAUGGUGACCUCCGGAGAGGGGGAUCACCAGGUUGCCUAAGAAGAGGUGAACGAACUCAGGUCAGAAACAAAGCAGGUCAAAACUCACAUGCUCAUCAGUAGUAAGAUCAUGCCUGAGAACAGCUCCAGCCUGAGCAAUACAGCAAGACCUCAUCUCUG